rnacentral:rRNA from 1 species
CCUACGGGUGGCAGCAGUGAGGAAUAUUGGUCAAUGGACGAGAGUCUGAACCAACCAAGUAGCGUGAAGGAUGACUGCCCUAUGGGUUGUAAACUUCUUUUAUAUGGGAAUAAAACGUUCCACGUGUGGGAUUUUGUAUGUACCAUAUGAAUAAGGAUCGGCUAACUCCGUGCCAGCAGCCGCGGUAAUACGGAGGAUCCGAGCGUUAUCCGGAUUUAUUGGGUUUAAAGGGAGCGUAGGUGGAUUGUUAAGUCAGUUGUGAAAGUUUGCGGCUCAACCGUAAAAUUGCAGUUGAAACUGGCAGUCUUGAGUACAGUAGAGGUGGGCGGAAUGCGUGGUGUAGCGGUGAAAUGCUUAGAUAUCACGAAGAACUCCGAUUGCGAAGGCAGUUCACUGGACUGCAACUGACACUGAGGCUCGAAAGUGUGGGUAUCAAACAGGAUUAGAUACCCCUGUAGUC